GACGAAGGAUGCAAGCGUUAUCCGGAUUCAUUGGGUUUAAAGGGAGCGUAGGUGGCCUUAUAAGUCAGUGGUGAAAUCUCUGGGCUUAACCCAGAAAUUGCCAUUGAUACUGUAGGGCUUGAGUACAGAUGCCGUUGGCGGAAUAUGACAUGUAGUGGUGAAAUACAUAGAGAUGUCAUAGAACACCGAUUGCGAAGGCAGCUGACGAAACUGUAACUGACACUGAGGCUCGAAAGUGCGGGGAUCAAACAGG
rnacentral:rRNA from 1 species